rnacentral:tRNA from 1 species
UCAAAAACACAAAACUAUUCUUCCAAAACUCCUAUGCUUUCGAUUGUUUCCACAAUUUUGACUUGAUU